rnacentral:rRNA from 1 species
GAUGAACGCUGACGGAAUGCUUAACACAUGCAAGUCGAGGGGGAAGUGGUGCUUGCACCCUGGCAACCGUGGCGGACGGGUGAGUAACGCGUAAGGGACUUACCUGCAGGACUGGGAUAACAGGGGGAAACUCCUGACAUGACCGGAUAAUGUCAUGGAGCUGCAUGGCUUUAUGUUGGAAGGAGACGCCUGCGGAGAGCCUUGCGUCCUAUUAGCUAGUUGGUGAGGUAAUGGCUCACCAAGGCGAAGAUAGGUAGCCGGCCUGAGAGGGUGGACGGCCACGAGGGGAAUGGGAUGCGGCCCUUAGGCCUACUGGAGGAAGGAGGGGGGCAUAAUGGACCAAGGGGGCAAGCCUGAAGCAGGAAUUCGGUUUGUAAGAAAAAGGUUUUCGGAAUGUAAAGUGGUUUCAGAAGGGAAGGAGGUAGUGACGGUACCUGCAGAAGAAGCGACGGCUAAAUACGUG